UGAGGUAGUAGGUUGUAUAGUUGAGAACUACAUCCAUCAGGAGAACUGUACAACUUGCUAACUUUCCC
rnacentral:pre_miRNA from 1 species